rnacentral:rRNA from 1 species
UUGGCUGAAAGAUGGCGUAAGCUAUCGCUUUUGGAUGGACCCGCGGCGUAUUAGCUAGUUGGUGAGGUAACGGCUCACCAAGGCAAUGAUACGUAGCCGAACUGAGAGGUUGAUCGGCCACAUUGGGACUGAGACACGGCCCAAACUCCUACGGGAGGCAGCAGUAGGGAAUCUUCCACAAUGGACGCAAGUCUGAUGGAGCAACGCCGCGUGAGUGAAGAAGGCUUUCGGGUCGUAAAACUCUGUUGUUGGAGAAGAAUGGUCGGCAGAGUAACUGUUGUCGGCGUGACGGUAUCCAACCAGAAAGCCACGGCUAACUACGUGCCAGCAGCCGCGGUAAUACGUAGGUGGCAAGCGUUAUCCGGAUUUAUUGGGCGUAAAGCGAGCGCAGGCGGUUUUUUAAGUCUGAUGUGAAAGCCCUCGGCUUAACCGAGGAAGUGCAUCGGAAACUGGGAAACUUGAGUGCAGAAGAGGACAGUGGAACUCCAUGUGUAGCGGUGAAAUGCGUAGAUAUAUGGAAGAACACCAGUGGCGAAGGCGGCUGUCUGGUCUGUAACUGACGCUGAGGCUCGAAAGCAUGGGUAGCGAACAGGAUUAGAUACCCUGGUAGUCCAUGCCGUAAACGAUGAAUGCUAGGUGUUGGAGGGUUUCCGCCCUUCAGUGCCGCAGCUAACGCAUUAAGCAUUCCGCCUGGGGAGUACGACCGCAAGGUUGAAACUCAAAGGAAUUGACGGGGGCCCGCACAAGCGGUGGAGCAUGUGGUUUAAUUCGAAGCAACGCGAAGAACCUUACCAGGUCUUGACAUCUUUUGAUCACCUGAGAGAUCAGGUUUCCCCUUCGGGGGCAAAAUGACAGG